UACGGAGGUGGCGAGCGUUGUCCGAAGUUACUGGGCGUAAAGCGCGCGUAGGCGGGGGAUUAAGUGAGAAGUGAAAGGCUGGGGCUCAACUCCAUGCAGUGCUUCUCAUACUGGUCCUUCUUGAGGGGGGGUAGAGAGAAGUGGAAUGGCUGGUGUAGCGGUGAAAUGCGUAGAUAUCAGGAAGAACACCCGUGGCUAAGGCGGCUCUCUAGUACGGUACUGACGCUGAGACGCGAAAGCGUGGGGGAGCGAACAGG
rnacentral:rRNA from 1 species